AGAGUUUGAUCAUGGCUCAGGAUGAACGCUGGCGGCGUGCCUAAUACAUGCAAGUGAAACGGGUAUCUUCGGAUACCAGUCGCGGACGGGUGAGUAAUACAUAGGCAACCUGCCUUUAUGAGGGGGAUAACCGAGGGAAACUUUGGCUAAUACCGCAUGAAGACUCUAAGGCAUCUUAGAGGGAUAAAAGUUGGGAAACAACGCAUGAAGAUGGGCUUAUGGCGCAUUAGCUAGUUGGUGAGAUAGAAGCCCACCAAGGUAAUGAUGCGUAGCCGACCUGAGAGGGUGAACGGCCACAUUGGGACUGAGACACGGCCCAAACUCCUACGGGAGGCAGCAGUAGGGAAUUUUCGGCAAUGAGGGGAACCCUGACCGAGCAACGCCCGCGUGAAGGAAGAAGGUUUUCGGAUUGUAAACUUCUGUUAUAAGGGAAGAACGGAUUGGAUAGGGAAUGAUCUGAUAGUGACGGUACCUUAUUAGAAAGCCACGGCUAACUACGUGCCAGCCGCCGC
rnacentral:rRNA from 1 species